CAACCCUCAAGCUUUGCUUGGUGUUAGAGACCUACGGCUGUCCGUAGGCUCCGAAAGCUAGUGGCAGGCUCGUAGCUGCUCCGAGCGUAGUAGUGUACCUCGCUAAGGAAAGGCUGCGGGUUUCUAGCCGUUAAACCCCUUACUUUUAA
rnacentral:misc_RNA from 1 species